GACGAACCGAGCGAACGUUGUUCGGAAUCACUGGGCUUAAAGGGCGCGUAGGCGGGUGCUCAAGUCCGUGGUGAAAUCCUCCGGCUCAACCGGAGAACUGCCUCGGAUACUGGGCGUCUCGAGUGUGGUAGGGGUAUGCGGAACUACCGGUGGAGCGGUGAAAUGCGUUGAUAUCGAUAGGAACUCCGGUGGCGAAGGCGGCAUACUGGACCACCACUGACGCUGAUGCGCGAAAGCCAGGGGAGCAAACGGG
rnacentral:rRNA from 1 species